GAGAUACCCUGCUCUGGCAAGGGAAGCGAGUGCACAGGAGACGCAGCUGCCCUCCCUCUGGAUCUGGACACAACACUGGCUCUGAUGUGCAGGUCAAAGAAUUCGGCUUCAGUUCUGGAAGCUGGGAAAUCCAAGAUCAAGGAGACUCAGUGUCUGGUGUGAGCUUCCCGGUUCAUAGAGAGAAGCAGAGACACAGGCAGAAAAAGAAGCACGAUCCCGGCAGGGAGCCUGAUGCGAGACUUGAUCCCAGGACCCCAGGAUCAUGACCUGAGCCAGAGGCAGACACUCAACCACUGAGCCACCCAGGUGCCCCACCUCCUAAUACCAUCAUCUUGGCGGGGGGCGGUGGGGGGAGAGGGUUUCAACAGAAAUUUGGGCAGAGGGAACACAAACAUUCAGACUGUAGCAGACACGAUGCAUUCUAUAGGAUGGGGAGGCCCUGGGAAGGCAGCCCUGGAGUAAGCAAAGAACCUAGCAAUACAAGAACCCCAGGCUAGGAGCCAGAAGCCCUGGGUCUGCCCAGUCCUUGGGAGAUUCCCCACCCAGUCCACUUGACCCUUUAAGUCACACUCUCUUCCUCUGUGCAACAGAAGAGACUGAUCCUUGUGAGCCCACACAAUGCUGCUGCUGUGAAGAUCAAAGGGAUCAUGGCUGUGAAAGUGCUUUAAAACAACCCCAAGCCAAAAACAAGUUAUCAGAAAUUUGGUAACCAUCUGACCCUCACCAGAAUGAGGCACUCUGAUUAAGGGGGCCGAGAAGCUAAGAACCCACAACUAGCAGACAUCUGGACCACAGAACCACCCACUCCCUGCUCCACCUUUGAGAGUCUGGGCUGAUCCCAGAACAGGCAGCAGGCAACAAUCAGGUGGCUGCUGCCCUGGCCAGAGGGCUGGGGAUGCCCAGCACUGAACAUUUAUGGACAUCUAUUCAGGGCUGCAGCCACACUCCCAUGCCUCCCCACCUCCCCCAGUCCCACCUUGGUACCAGUCCUGGGGAACCAGAGGGAACCAAGAGGCUGCUUCAGGGCAGGGCUGCCAGGACAGUGGAAUGACCUCAGGAGACAGUACUCUGGACAUGGACAUCUGGAGCAUACAGCAGUCUCAACACCCAGUGUGGCUCAGUCAAAGGAGCAAAGCCACAGCUGCUUGGCAGCAUCUGCUCUCUGCAUCCCAAUUCUCAGGCUGCAUUGGCACUGGUCACAGGACACAGCUGGGUCCCCCAGGAAUGGUGGCAUUUAGUGGCCCUGCCAGGAUGGGAGCUGAAAGUCUUUGAAUGGCUGCCUGAUUUCAUCUCCACCCACCCUCUGAGAGGGAGGGAUCAUGAGGUCCUCUCAAAGGAGAGCAGGAUACACUUAGAUGACCUGCUUAAGGUCACCCUGACUUUUGCCCCUAGUUGGUGUAACAGCCUCUGUAAGGCAUGUAAGCCCACCAGCAUGCUUUUGUGGUGAGCUGGCAUGUUCUUUCAGGAGUCAUUCCCUGAGGUCACCAAUAGGGACUCAGGAGCUAUUUUUACAAGCCAGCCAGCUUGCAUAGAUAACCUAUCUUUCAGGAAAAAAAAAAACAAAAAAACAGCAAAUCCAGCUUUUUAAAAAAAUUUACUUACAAUGAAGUCAACUGACAUGCAAUAAAGUCAAAUGUGUCUUCCUCACAGUGCACAGUUCCAUGAGUUUUAACACCUGCACUGAUUCAUGUAGCCAACACCACAAUCAGGAUUCAGAACCGCUCCAUCACCCCAAAACACUCUCCUAGAUUCUUUGUAUGAAUCCCCUCCCCUAAUCCAGGCAACUACUGUUCUCCUUCACUCUAGGUUUGUCUUUUUUUUUUUUUUUUUUUUUAAAUUUUAAGUAGGUUCCAUGCCCACUGUGGAGCCCAGCAUGAAGCCUGAACUCAUGACCCGGAGACCAAGAACUGAGCUGAGAUCAAGAGACGCUUAACCAACUGAGCCACCCAGGUGCUCCUAGUGUCUUGGGGAUCCCUGGGUGGCUCAGCGGUUUAGCACCUGCCUUUGGCCCAGGGCGUGAUCCUGGAGUCCCGAGAUGGAGUCCCACGUCAGGCUCCCCACAUGGAGCCUACUUCUGCCUCUCUCUCUCUCUCUCUCUCUAUCAUGAGUAAAUAAAUAAAAUCUUAAAUAAAAUAGUGUCUUCACAGAGCAAAAGUUUUAAAUUUUGAUGAAACUCAAUUUACCAGUUUUUUCUUCAUGGACUUCAUUUUGGUGUAAUGUCUAAGAACUAAUUCCAAGUCAUGAAGUUUUUUCUCUGGUUUUCUUCCCUAAAGGUUAUCAUUUUAGUUUGUCUUUUUUCUUUUUUUAAUUUUUAUUUAUUUAUGAUAGUCACAAAGAGAGAGAGAGGGAGAGGCAGAGACACAGGCAGAGGGAGAAGCAGGCUCCAUGCACCAGGAACCCGACGUGGGAUUCGAUCCCGGGUCUCCAGGAUCGUGCCCCGGGCCAAAGGCAGGCGAUAAACCGCUGCGCCACCCAAGGAUCCCCUAGUUUGUCUUUUCUUCUUAAGAGUACGCUCCACACCAGUGUGGGGCCCAAUGCGAGUCUUGAACUUACAACUCUGAGAUCAAGACCUGAGCUGAGAUCCAGAGUUGGGACGCUCAACCUACUGAGCCAUCCAAGAGCCCCUAUCAUUUUUGCUCUUACAUUUAAGCCUAGAAUGCAUUAUGAGUUAACUUUUGUAUGUGUGAAGUCUAAGUCAAGGCUCAGAUUUUUACAGAUUGAUGUCUAAUUGUUCCAACAUCAUUUGUUACAGUGACUUCACUUUUCCCUUUUAUUCUCUAUCAAAAGUCAAUUACUCAAAUUUGUGUGUGUUUAGUUUCACACUAUUCUGCUCCACUGAUUCAUGUCUCUUUGCCUUCACCAGUAUGUUCCUUUAUACAAAGUCUUAAAAUUAAGUAAGAUGAUUCCUCCUAGUUUAUUCUUUCCCAGACUGAUUUUGACUACUGUAGUUCUUUUAUCUAAGUAAAUUUCCCAAUCAGCUUUUCUAUGUUAAAAAAAAAAUGUAGUAUGUGUCUAUCUACACACACACACACACACACAAACACACACACACACACACACACACAAACACACACACACACACACACACAGAUAUAAGGCAGACCUUGGCGAUAUUGCAGGUUUGGUCCCAGACCACUGCAAUAAAGGAAAUAUUGCAAUAAAGCAAGUAAAGUGAAUUUUUUUCUCAGUGCAUGUAUGGGUUAUGUUCACACCAUACCACUGUCUAUUAAAUGCACAAUAGCAUCUGGUCUUAAAAAAUAUGUGUGCCUGGGCAGCCCCGGUGGCUCGGCGGUUUAGCGCCGCCUUCAGCCCGGAGCAUGAUCCUAGAGACCCCGAUCAAGAGUCCCACGUUGGGCUCCCUGCAUGGAGCCUGCUUCUUCCUCUGCCUGUUUCUCUGCCUCUCUCUC